AUUGAACGCUGGCGGCGGGCCUAACACAUGCAAGUCGAACGAGUGGCGGACGGGUGAGUAAUGGCGGGGAAACUGCCUGAUGGAGGGGGAUAACUGCUGGAAACGGUAGCUAAUACCGCAUACCAUCAUAUGGGCCCAGGUGGGAUGAGCUAGUUGGUGGGGUAACGGCUCACCAAUGCGACGAUCCCUAGCUGGUCUGAGAGGCUGACCAGCCACACUGGAACUGAGACACGGUCCAGACUCCUACGGGAGGCAGCAGUGGGGAAUAUUGCACAAUGGGCGCAAGCCUGAUGCAGCCAUGCCGCGUGUAUGAAGAAGGCUUUCGGGUUGUAAAGUACUUUCAGCGGGGAGGCGUUACCCGCAGAAGAAGCACCGGCUAACUCCGUGCCAGCAGCCGCGGUAAUAC
rnacentral:rRNA from 1 species